rnacentral:rRNA from 1 species
GAUGAACGCUGGCGGCGUGCCUAAUACAUGCAAGUCGAGCGAACGGACGCGAAGCUUGCUUUUCUGAUGUUAGCGGCGGACGGGUGUGUAACACGUGGAUCACCUACUUAUCUGACUGGUAUAUCUUCGGGAAACCGGAGCUAAUACCGGAUAAUCUUUUGAUCCGCAUGGUUCAUAAGUGAAAGUCGGUCUUGCUGGCACUUAUAGAUGGAUCCGCGCUGCAUUAGCUAGUUGGUAAGGUAACGGGUUAUCAAGGCAACGAUGCCUAGCCGACGUGAGAGGGUGAUAGGCCACACUGGAACUGAGACACGGUCCAGGCUCCUACGGGAGGGAGCAGUAGGGUACGUGCCGCAAUAGGCGAGAACCUGGCGGAGCAACGCGGCGUGAGUGAUGAAGGUCUUCGGUGCGGAAAACUCUGUUAUGAGGGAAGAACAUAUGUGUAAGUAGCUGUGGACAUCUUGACGGUACCGAAUAAAAAAGCCACGGCUAACUACGUG